UACAGAGGUCUCAAGCGUUGUUCGGAUUCAUUGGGCGUAAAGGGUGUGUAGGUGGCGCCGUAAGUCGGGUGUGAAAUUUCGGAGCUUAACUCCGAAACUGCAUUCGAUACUGCGGUGCUUGAGGACUGGAGAGGAGACUGGAAUUCAUGGUGUAGCAGUGAAAUGCGUAGAGAUCAUGAGGAAGACCAGUGGCGAAGGCAGCUCGCUGGAACGGUACUGACGCUGAGGCGCGAAAGCGUGGGGAGCGAACAGG
rnacentral:rRNA from 1 species